AUCACCCGGUUCGGUCGGAAUAGGUUAUCUCGAACCGUACCGAACCGUACCGAAUAGGCCUUUUAGAAAUUAGGGUUGGCCGCCGCCCCCUUCAUCUCAUCUGUCUCCCACGAUCUCACUUCUCAGGCUCGUCCGCCGUCCGCCGGUCCGUCGUUCGCUGUUCGCCGUUCUCCGUUCGCCUGCCGUCAGUCUCUCUCGUCUUCAAAAAGAAAAUAAAGUUGUAUUGUGAGGCUAGUGGAAGAGGAGGAAGAAGCAGUUUCAAACGAGACGCAAACGAAGAGUCGUGGAUAAUCUAACACCAUCUCCAAGGCUGAGGAGAAAGAUCCAGUGAUAAGGAAACGAUGAGGCAAUUGCCCAAUGGACUAAUUGCAAUUUCGCAUUCUCCAUCUCCCACUGCAAUGAAGGUUCUUGCGGAAUCAAAAUUGGGGCAGAAUCAAGGUUGUACCUUAUGGGCGUAAUGUGGGCUUCCUUUUAUGAGCAAAGUUGUGGAGUGAAGGAAGUCUCUAAAAAUGGGUGAUUUGGUGAUAGGAACUCGAAAUCUUUCUUUUCAAACUUUAUUGUAAGCAGCUAUUACUGAAUUUUUACAAACACUUCUUUUUUAGUAUUGGAGAUUAAUUUUUAGUCGAUGAUGAGAUAAUUUAUGAUCAUUUUCUUUGGUGGACCAACUUGA